rnacentral:rRNA from 1 species
GCUUACGGCCAUAUCAGCCUGGGUACGCCCGAUCUCGUCUGAUCUCGGAAGCUAAGCAGGGUCGGGCCUGGUUAGUACUUGGAUGGGAGACCGCCUGGGAAUACCAGGUGCUGUAUGCA